rnacentral:rRNA from 1 species
CCCUUAGACGUCCUGGGCCGCACGCGCGCUACACUGACACAGGCAACGAGCUUUCCUUUACCGAAAGGUAUGGGUAAUCUUUUGAAACUGUGUCGUGCUGGGGAUAGAUCCUUGCAAUUUUUGAUCUUAAACGAGGAAUUCCUAGUAAGCGCGAGUCAUCAACUCGCGUUGAUUACGUCCCUGCCCUUUGUACACACCGCCCGUCGCUACUACCGAUUGAAUGGCUUAGUGAGGCCUCAGGAUCCGCGCUUAAUGUGUGGAGAAUUUGGACAAACUACGUCAUUUAGAGGAAGUAAAAGUCGUAACA